UGGGGAAUAUUGGGCAAUGGGCGCAAGCCUGAUCCAGCGACGCCGCGUGUGUGAAGAAGGCCUGCGGGUUGUAAAGCACUUUCGAUGGGAACGAAAUGUGCCGGGUUAAUACCCCGGUAAGCUGACGUUACUCAAUGAAGAAGCACCGGCUAACUCUGUGCCAGCAGCCGCGGUAAUACAGAGGGUGCGAGCGUUAAUCGGAAUUACUGGGCGUAAAGCGCACGUAGGUGGCGACGUAAGUCGGGUGUGAAAGCCCCGGGCUCAACCUGGGAAUUGCAUUCGAGACUGCAUUGCUGGAGUACGGAAGAGGAGGGCGGAAUUCCCGGUGUAGCGGUGAAAUGCGCAGAUAUUAGGAGGAACACCGGUGGCGAAGGCGCCGCUCUGGGCCGAAACUGACGCUGAGGAGCGAAAGCAUGGGUAGCAAACAGGAUUAGAUACCCGAGUAGUCCCUGAGCGGGCUGGCAAGGCGCAU
rnacentral:rRNA from 1 species